CUGACACCGCCGCAAGCAGACUAAGCUAAUUUUUAUUUAAUUCGUGUUAUUUCGUGCUGUAAAUUCGAUAUUUUUCUCCCCCAAGGCAGAAAAAGAUCACUUGCUUGCAAGCCGGAUUAUAUUUAAUAAUUUUAGAGACAAUAUAAGAGCACAUUAAAAUUCACCACAAUCCACCCCUCUCCUGUUAACGAGGGACAGAUACCACAACAAACUAUA